rnacentral:rRNA from 1 species
UACGGAGGGUGCGAGCGUUGUUCGGAAUCACUGGGCGUAAAGCGCGUGCAGGCGGCUUCUUAAGUCUGAUGUGAAAGCCCGGGGCUCACCCCCGGAAGUGCAUUGGAAACUGGGAAGCUAGAGUACCGGAGAGGAAGGUGGAAUUCCUGGUGUAGCGGUGAAAUGCGUAGAUAUCAGGAGGAACACCGGUGGCGAAGGCGGCCUUCUGGACGGAUACUGACGCUGAGACGCGAAAGCGUGGGGAGCAAACAGG